GUGGGUUUGCUGAUUUAUAGCCAGGUGAGGAAACAUAGAACAUGGAUUCUAGCCACAUGUCACUAGGUCUGUGUAACCUAACGUAGGUGCCAUAUGUAUUGGAAGUACAUUAUGUUUUAUUGGAUUACGCAUCAGUUUGUAUCAUUUCAUGUGUCAUAGAUUUGUGAUUGGUCAGAAAAAUAUAUUUAAGUUAAAAUUUAAUUACUAAGUAUUUUUCUAACCAAUCACAAACUCAUGACAUAUGAAAUGACACAACUGUAGGAUACUAGAUAUGCACUCGUUUUAUUGUGGAAAAACAAUAUGGGCUGAUGUUCUAUUUAUUUUCAAUUUGACUCUUUAAGAAAACUAAUACCAAAUGGUAAUCAUAUACGAACUAUAUAUAUAAAUAUUUAUAAUCAUAAUUAAUUAUAGAUAUUUCACUCAUGUUUUUUUACAUCAAGUCAAUAUGUUUAUUUCUAAGAUGUAUUUUCUUAAACAUGAGUACAUAAAAGAUAAAAAAUAAGUUUAAGGUAAAGAUCGUUAACGAAUUUAUUUUUUUUAAUCAAAAUGACCAAAUUUAUUAUUCAAAUAAUAAAGAUUAUGCAUUGACAAAAAAGUGUUGAGUGGGGAAGUGUCGGGAUAAGAUUUAAUGUCUCAUUGCUAAAACAAGUAAUUGUGAUUUCAAAGUUUGAUAUUCUAGACCGACCAAAUAUAAUGGCACUUGAAGUGAUUAUGGAAUAUAGAUUGCUCUCAAAUGUUAAUACAGGUCUUUGAAUUUUUUUACAGCCCAAGAAAACUUAGAAGUACUAGUAGUGUGAUUGGUCUAUAGAUUAUAUUUGUGAGCACAGUAGAAUGAGAUUCAAACACUUUAUAAGGACGGUAGAAAAUAGGUAUUUAAUAGUGUUCACUUAAACGAGUGAUGUUAAAUGCCCACAUUUUACAAUGUUCGUUUGAAUGUGCGCCGUAGAAAUUUAUGUUUAAUGCCUACUUUCUAUAGCACCCUCAAGUGAGUGAUAUAGAAUCUAAAAUUUUCUAACACUUUUUAUAAUGUUUGCUUAAGCAAGUGCUAUUGAAGCUAACAAUAAUAUUGUUUGAUAAUAAUAAUACUAUUAAUGCAUCAAUUGUUAUAUCAAAUAGUAUAUGCAUAGAUAAAUAUAUGAAAUACAUCCGGUAGCACACAUAUAAUAUACUAACAACACAUGUUUAAACUUUUUUUCUUUUCUUUGAUCAAUAGAGACUUGUGUUAAUCUUUCUUGGAAGAAAAUAUGGAUUUACCCAAAUCAACCCUCUUAUCAUGACCAACACUUCUAUAUAAAUUAUCAUCUGUAGUUGGAUCGCUCUCGUAUGAUUGUAAUAUCCCAAAGAAAGGAUCAUCAUUAGCUUCAAUGUCAUUGUUGUCUUGACCAUGAAUAUUAUUGACGAUUAUUUUGUUAGUCGAAAGAACAAUAGAACAUUUCACAUCAGCUAGGUCAUCGACAUAAAAUACUUGUUGAGCUUGUGAUGCUAGAAUAAGAGGAUCAUCUUUAAAUCCUGACCUAUUAAGAUCCACCUGCGUGAACUCUAACUUAUCAACCUGAAAGUCAUUGUUGUUAUCAACCCACAUACAAAAAAUACUGGUACCUAAAAUAUUGUGUAAUCCAAUUGCCAUAUAUGUUCAAUGGCUCCAAAGUAUGAUAUAUUUACAUAUAUGAGGUUUUUAUCUUUGAUAGUUGACAUAUGUAUAGUUUGAGCAACAAUAGUCACA
rnacentral:lncRNA from 1 species